rnacentral:rRNA from 1 species
GGCCCUAUGGGGCGCAGCAGGCGCGAAACCUCCUCAAUGCACUAACGUGCGAAGGGGUUACCUCGAGUGCCACCUGAAGAAGGUGGCUUUUCCUUGGUCUAAAGAGCCUCGGGAAUAAGAGGGGGGCAAGACUGGUGUCAGCCGCCGCGGUAACACCAGCCCCUCGAGUGGUGGGGAUGAUUAUUUGGCCUAAAGCGUCCGUAGCCGGCCGGGUAAGUUUCCCGUUAAAUCUAACGUCUCAAGCGUUGGUCUGCGGGAAAUACUGUCUGGCUAGAGAGUGGGAGAGGUAAGCGGUAUUCUGGGGGUAGGGGCGAAAUCCUUUGAUCCCCGGAGGACCACCAGUGGCGAAGGCUGCUUACUAGAACACGUCUGACGGUCAGGGACGAAAGCUGGGGUAGCGAACCGGAUUAGAUACCCGGGUAGUCCCAGCUGUAAACGAUGCAUGCUAGGUGUUGGGUUGGCCACGAGCCACCCCAGUGCCGCAGGGAAGCCGUUAAGCAUGCCGCCUGGGAAGUACGAUCGCAAGAUUGAAACUUAAAGGAAUUGGCGGGGGAGCAC